rnacentral:rRNA from 1 species
UGAGGAAUAUUGGUCAAUGGACGCAAGUCUGAACCAGCCAUGCCGCGUGAAGGAUGAAGGCGUUCUGCGUUGUAAACUUCUUUUAUCUGGGAAGAAACCUACGAUUUCUAUCGUAGCCGACGGUACCAGAGGAAUAAGCACCGGCUAACUCCGUGCCAGCAGCCGCGGUAAUACGGAGGGUGCAAGCGUUAUCCGGAUUCACUGGGUUUAAAGGGUGUGUAGGCGGAUAUUUAAGUCAGUGGUGAAAUCUCCAGGCUCAACCUGGAAACUGCCAUUGAUACUAUUUAUCUUGAAUAUUGUUGAGGUAGGCGGAAUAUGUCAUGUAGCGGUGAAAUGCUUAGAUAUGACAUAGAACACCGAUUGCGAAGGCAGCUUGCUAAACAAUUAUUGACGCUGAGGCACGAAAGCGUGGGGAUCAAACA